rnacentral:rRNA from 1 species
AAUUUUGGACAAUGGGGGAAACCCUGAUCCAGCCAUCCCGCGUGUAUGAUGAAGGCCUUCGGGUUGUAAAGUACUUUUGGCAGAGAAGAAAAGGUAUCCCCUAAUACGGGAUACUGCUGACGGUAUCUGCAGAAUAAGCACCGGCUAACUACGUGCCAGCAGCCGCGGUAAUACGUAGGGUGCAAGCGUUAAUCGGAAUUACUGGGCGUAAAACGGUUUGAGGCGGUUUCGAAAGAAAGAUUGUAAAACCCAGGGCUCAACCUUGGAACUUCAUUUUUAACUGCCGAGCUAGAGGAUUUCAGAAGGGGGUAGAAUUCCACCUGUUGCAGUUAAAUGCGUAGAUAUGUUGAGGAAUACCGAUGGCGAAGGCAGCCCCCUGGGAUAAUACUGACGCUCAGACACGAAAGCGUGGGGAGCAAACAGG